UACGUAGGGGGCUAGCGUUGUCCGGAUUUAUUGGGCGUAAAGAGCGUGUAGGCGCCAGGUAGGUCUGCUGUGAAAACUCGAGGCUCAACCUCGAGACGUCGGCGGAAACCAUCUGGCUAGAGUCCGGAAGAGGAGAGUGGAAUUCCUGGUGUAGCGGUGAAAUGCGCAGAUAUCAGGAAGAACACCCGUGGCGAAGGCGGCUCUCUGGGACGGUACUGACGCUGAGAAGCGAAAGCUGGGGAGCGAACAGG
rnacentral:rRNA from 1 species